CGAUUGCGACAUACGCGGAGGAUUUUUUUUAGCGUUGCGCGGUACGUUUUUGAACGUCCACAAUGCACAAAAAGUUAUCUUUUUCAAAACAAAUUAUCAAAAAACCGCAGGACGAAAUGUGGAAAACUUCUACAAUAUCAUUCUUUGGUAGUGUAUUUCGGUAGAACUGUUAAGAAAAUCUAGACCCGCGAUUGCUGGAGCGAAACGAACGAAUUUUAACAUCCAGCUGACGGCCUAUCAGUACAACGCCAAUUUUGACACGAAACUUAUCGGCGAAAACUAGGACGAAUUAGAAUGCUGCAUAGUAACGAUGCACAUAAUAUGAAAUUCAGUGAGCGUUGAUCUUUCCAUCAAAGUGUUAGGAUGUGUGUGCUAAAUGCUAACUUCAUUAAUUGGGAAAACCUACAAUAAGAAGCUCAUAGAAACAUCAGAGGUAGACCCAAAUAGAAAUUGCGAUGUAAUGAAAACCAAUAAUCCUACAGUAGCCCACCAAAUGUUUCGGCACAAAUGAACUAUUGGAUUGCAGACAUUACAGAAGCUACUUUAAUAGCAAAAUGAAUGAUCCCAUGCAAAACAAAAUGAAGUAUUCAGGCGCGGAUCCAGAGGGGGAGGGUGUUGUGGGUCAAUCACCCCUGCUAUAACACUAAACAAUAUUAUGACAAUGAUACCAAUAAUUUUAAUAAUAUUGACCUCUUUGUUUGUCUGUCGGUAACACUCUGACACAGAGGUGUAGCCAGCGGGGUCAGGGGAUAUUUGUAGUCUUGUGCGAUGUAGUUUGCAUUAGAGUCGGAUUUGAACAGCGCCCCCAUAGAAUGGUACCAGCCCCCCCCCCCCUUUUAUCUUAAGGAGACCAAGUGUCCCUAGAAAAAAAUCUGUCUACAUUUCAGCACUGUUUUCCUGAUUCCAAAAAACCUGACGGGCCUGAACCUCCCCCGCAAAAAAACCUCCUGGAUCCGCCGUGGUACAGCGAUAAGUAGUAAGAGUCCUGACAAAUUCAAUUUGGGCCAUCAAAUAUCAAACCCACAGUAAAAAUUCUCAUUGUUAUCCUCUGUCUUGAAAACUGUAUUUUCAUUGGCCUAGAGCGAUCACGUUUUAAGUUUAAAAAAAAGUCUGUCACACAUAUCACGUACGGGGAAACGCGUGUAUAUUGGUUCCCACGCUAUUUUCACGCAUGAGUGGGGGCAGCGACAGACGAUCAGCUGUUUCGAGCAGAAACAGCUACAGAUGAUCAGCUGUUGCCAGGGUGCGACAUGUUUUGAGAUAAUCUUCCCUUGUUGUGUUUAUACCGCAGUUUGUUUUCGUGAUUUUCAAUCGAAAUCCAAUUUAACUUAAAAUUAAAUUUCGUUGUCGCAUGGAGCUAAUAAAAAUCAAAAGGGACUUCGGUGUGUACGUCUACUUCAAAGCCUGAUCCAGAGCAAGUAGCGACUGAUGGUAUCAUGGUACAGCAGCCAGACGACCCACUCUGCCAAGUCGCAUACCCUUGGAGAGGCAGCAUGAACGGCUCCAGUUCGAAUGUUAGCUGCACUGAUUCCUUGUAAGCUGUCAAACGUCUACACCAACCACUCAACACGUGCGUCUACUCUUCAGUCACGACUUUGCAUAAUGCGGUAUUCAGGGACCGGCACAUCAUGAACAUUAGUAGGUACAAGAGUGAGCAGAGCAUGAAAUUAUACUCCAGUUGCAUCCGUGACUUAUAGAGAUGUGAAAUGUCACACGCUUUGAGAAAGGCUAGGUUCAAAAACCCAUCGACAGAAUCCAGAGCAGCAGCCACAGACCCCAUGCCACAGAGAAAUCUUCCAUCUACCUCCAGCAUGCAUGAAGACAAGAUCCACUGCCAGUUCAGACUUCAGCAGAGACUUCAACUUCAUCGCUAGUUAUGUUAACAGACUCUGACAAGAAACACUACUUGCUGAUGAAGAUGACAACGAACGUUCCUCUGUUGGACAGUCCACCCCAAGUCAGUCAACUAGUCAGUUCACAUCAUUUAAAAGACCAAAGUAGAUCAGCAAAGCCAGUAUAGCUGAAGAUUUAUUACCCCCCCCCCCCAAAAAAAAGUCUCCGGUUUCUGGUAUGCGCGCGCGUUGCCGUA
rnacentral:lncRNA from 1 species